AGGGAAGCUUGCUUCCCUGAAGACCUAGUGGCGAACGGGUGAGUAACACGUGAGAAACCUGCCCUCGAGUGGGGAAUAACCCGAGGAAACUCGGGCUAAUACCGCAUACGCUCCUCUGGUCGCAUGGCCGGAGGAGGAAAGUAUUUCGCUCGUGGAGGGUCUCGCGGCCUAUCAGCUUGUUGGCGGGGUAACGGCCCACCAAGGCUACGACGGGUAGCUGGUUUGAGAGAACGAUCAGCCACACUGGGACUGAGACACGGCCCAGACUCCUACGGGAGGCAGCAGUGGGGAAUCUUGCGCAAUGGGCGAAAGCCUGACGCAGCAACGCCGCGUGCGGGAUGACGGCCUUCGUGGUUGUAAACCGCUUUCAGCAGGGACGAAAAUGACGGUACCUGCAGAAGAAGCUCCGGCUAACUACGUGCCAGCAGCCGCGGUAAUACGUAGGGGGCAAGCGUUGUCCGGAUUCAUUGGGCGUAAAGAGCUCGUAGGCGGUUCAGUAAGUCGGGUGUGAAAGCUCCGAGCUCAACUCGGAGAGGCCACCCGAUACUGCUGUGACUCGAGUCCGGUAGAGGAGCGUGGAACUCCUGGUGUAGCGGUGAAAUGCGCAGAUAUCAGGAAGAACACCCGUAGCGAAGGCGGCGCUCUGGGCCGGUACUGACGCUGAGGAGCG
rnacentral:rRNA from 1 species